ACGGAAGGAGCCGAACCCGGCGCCAUCCACCGCCAUCCUCCUCUGCCCCACCACCAUCCAGUCCCUGGGAGCCCCUAGGUCCUGGUCCCGGAUCCCCGCACACCCGGCCAGGCUCCGGCACGUUUUGGAGGAGGUGCCUGCAGGACCCAACAUACUCAAUGAGCUUCCAGAGCAAUGUCAGAUCGCUGGGGGCCGACUGCCAAGGGAAAUGAUGGAAACAAGUAUUCCUCGCUCAACCUGUUUGACACAUAUAAGGGCAAGUCCUUAGAGAUCCAGAAACCGGCUGUUGUCCCUCGCCAUGGCCUGCAGAGUCUCAGCAAAGUUGCCAUUGCCAGGCGUAUGCCACCUCCAGCCAACCUUCCAAGCCUGAAAGCCGAGAACAAAGGCAAUGACCCCAAUGUCUCACUAGUGCCGAAAGACGGAACAGGAUAGGCAAGCAAACAGGAGCAGUCCGACCCCAAGAGUUCCGAUGCCUCAACCGCUCAGCCACCGGAAUCGCAGCCACUGCAGGCUCCACCGACGCCUGCCUCCAACCAGCCGAAACGACCCCCAGCAGCCCCGGAGAACACUCCUUCGGUUGCAAGCGGGGUAAAGUCCUGGGCACAAGUCAGCGUCAGCUAUGGAGCACAUGGAGAUGGUGGAAGGGCAUCAAGCCUACUGUCGCGAUUCUCUCGAGAGGAAUUUCUGACCCAGCAGGCGGCUGGCGACCAGAACAAGGCUGCCAAGGAGAGGGAGUCUGCCAAAUAGUCGUCUGGGCCCGGACCAAGCCUCUGCCCCCAAAAUUCUACAACUUGGAGGGACGGAGGUGGGCUUGGCUCUGAUGAGCUGGAGGGUCCGGACUCCAAACUUCAUCAUGGUCAUGAUCCCCAGGGGGCGCUGCAGCCUUCAGGCCCACCCCAGUUCCCUCCCUACCGCGGAAUGAUGCCGCCUUUCAUGUAUCCUCCAUAUCUCCCAUUCCCUCCGCCCUAUGGACCCCAGGGGCCUUACCGAUACCCAACUCCUGAUGGGCCCAGCCGUUUUCCCCAUGUGGCGGGCCCCCGAGGGUCAGGGCCACCAAUACGCCUAGUAGAGCCUGUGGGUCAUCCCUCUAUUCUCAAAGAGGAUAAUCUCAAAGAGUUUGAUCAAUUGGAUCGAGAGAAUGAUGAUGGUUGGGCAGGGGCCCACGAAGAGGUUGACUACACUGAAAAGCUCAAGUUCAGCGAUGAGGAAGAUGGCCGAGACUCUGAUGAGGAGGGAGCUGAGGGCCACAAGGAUUCCCAGUCAGCUUCUGGUGAGGAACGGCCCCCUGAAGCAGAUGGCAAAAAGGGCAACUCUCCCGGCACUGAACCGCCCCUCCUAAGACAGCCUGGGCAGAAACCUCUCAGCCUCCAGAGACAGACCCAGGACCUCCUGCCCCAAAGCCUCCCCCACCCCCACCUCACCGGGGCCCCGCCAGGAACUGGGGCCCCCCUGGGGACUAUCCAGAUCGUGGGGGCCCUCCCUGCAAGCUCCCAGCACCUGAAGAUGAGGAUGAAGCAUGGCGGCAGCGACGAAAGCAGUCAUCAUCUGAGAUUUCCCUGGCAGUGGAGCACACCCGACGACCGUGAGAAAAAGAGGAGCGGCACAUGCAGGAAGAGCGCCGGGCAGCCUGUGCUGAGAAGCUCAAGUGGCUUGAUGAAAAGUUUGGGGCACCUGACAAGCGACUCAAAGCAGAGCCUGCUCCCCCACCUGCUGCCCCUUCUACCCCAGCUCCACCACCUGCAGUCCCCAAAGAACUCACUGCACCUCCAGCUCCACCACUGGCAUCAGCCCCAGCACCAGAGAAAGAACCUGAAGAGCCAGCACAGACCCCUCCUGCCCAAUCUAUUCCUACUCCAGGUGUGGCUUCGGCUCCCACUCUGGUGAGUGGUGGUGGGAGUACCAGUAGCACCAGCAGCGCAGCUUCAAAGCCAGCCCAGUGGAACCGCAACUGCACUCAAAAGAGAGUCCUGAACCGCCAGAAGAGGUCCCUCCUCCUACCACACCCCCAGCUCCAAAGGUGGAACCCAAGGGUGAUGGUAUUGGUUCCCCCCCCCCGCCAGCCCCCUAGUCAGGGCUUGGGCUACCCCAAAUAUCAGAAGUCAUUGCUUCCUCGUUUCCAGUGGCAGCAGCAGCAGCAGCAGCAGCAGCAGCAGCAGCAGCAUCAACAGAGCUCUGCCCCUCCUACCCCAGUUCCCCCAUCACCACCACAGCCUGUGACCCUGGGGGCUGUGCCAGCUCCACAGGCUCCUCCACCGCCCCCCAAGGCCCUGUUCCCAGGUGCUCUGGUCCGGCCCCCACCUAUGCCUCCAAUGAACUUUGAUCCCCGAUGGAUGAUGAUUCCUCCUUAUGUGGACCCCCGGCUCCUCCAGGGUCGGCCCCCUCUAGACUUCUACCCUCCUGGAGUGCGUCCCUCUGGCCUAGUUCCCCGAGAGCGCUCAGACAGUGAGGGCUCAAGCUCAGAGCCAUUUGAUCGUCAUGCACCCCCCAUGUUACAGGAACGGGGCACUCCACCAGUGGAUCCAAAGUUGGCCUGGGAAGGAGAUGUCUUCACCACCACAUCCACCGACUCCUGCCCACUUACCUCACCAUUGAGCUAGGCCGCGGAUGAGGAAGACAAGGGGAUGAGGAGUGAGACUCCUCCAGUACCUCCCCCACCCCCCACCGUAUCUGGCCAGUUAUCCAGGCUUUCCUGAGAAUGGAGCCCCGGGACCCCAAUCUCGCUUUUCUCUGGAGGAACCAGCUCCCUCUGGGCCCCGUCCACUCCCCUGGCCCCCAGGCAGUGAUGAAGUGUCGAAGAUACAAACUCCACCACCCAAGAAGGAGUCCCCUAAGGAGGAGACUGCACAGCUGACAGGGCCAGAAGCAGGCCGAAAGCCUGCCUGCGGAGUCGGAAGUGGAGGCCAGGGUCCCCCACCACCACGCAGAGAGGGUCGCACGACCCACUGGGGCCCUCGUCCAGGCAGCAGUCGUCGUGGAAUCCCUCCAGAGGAGCCAGGGGCCCCAUCCCGCCGGGCUGGGCCUAUGAAGAAACCUCCACCACCUACAAAAGUCGAAGAGCUGCCUCGCAAGCCCCUCGAACAGGGGGAUGGAACCCCCAAAGCCCCAAAGCCAGACCCACUCAAAAUAGCCAAGAGAAAGCUAGGGGGCCCCAAAGAUACCCCACCCAGUGAGAAUCUUUCCCCUGCCCCAAGGCUUCGGAGGGACUAUUCCUAUGAAAGAGUGGGUCCUUACUCUUGCUGGGGGUUGGGGCCGAGGUGAGUAUUUUGCCAGAGGGAGGGGUUUUCGGGGGACCUAUGGGGGACGGGGGCGGGGAGCCCGAAGCCGGGAGUUCCGCAGUUACAGAGAGUUCCAAGGAGACGAUGGGCGUGGAGGUGGAACAAGGGGACCAAACCACCCUCCUGCUCCCCGAGGACGCACUGCCAGCGAGACACGGAGCGAAGCCUCAACACCUGGACCCGAGGAGGCUCUCACAACAGUCACAGUGGCCCCACCACCGCGCCCGGCAGCUGCCAAGUCUCCUGAUCUGUCAAACCAGAACUUGGACCAAGCCAAUGAGGAAUAGGAGACUGCAUCAGAGAGCAGCGACUUUGCCAACGAGCACCAGGGGGGGACAAAGAGGCACCCCCACCAGCACUGCUAACACCCAAAGCUGUGGGGACUCCUGGGGGAGGUGGUAGAGCUGGAGGCAUACCAGGAAAAUCAGCCAAGGAUUUGAGUAAACAGAGCUUCUUAAGUCAGCGGCCACGAAUGGAACAGCAGAACCAGAGCCCUGGCCCAGGGGGCAAGGCUGGCAGCAGCAGCAGCAGCAAUGGAGGAGGUGGAGGCAGUCCGGGAGGAAGGAAUGGGCCAGGACGAGGCAACAAGAGGAGCUGGCCCUCUCCCAAGAACCGAAGUCAUCCUCCAGAGGAGCGUCCCCCGGGACUUCCCCUGCCUCCCCCGGGACUUCCCCUGCCUCCCCCACCUCCCAGCAGUUCUGCUGUCUUCCACCUGGACCAAGUUAUCCAUAGCAACCCUGCUGGCAUCCAACAGGCUCUGGCCCAGCUUAGUAGCCGCCAAGGGAGUGUAACUGCACCAGGGGGGCACCCAAGACACAAGCCUGGGCCUCCCCAACCCCCUCAGGGCCCCUCUCCUAGGGCCACAACCCAAUAUGAGCCCCAGAGAGCCAACAGUGGCCUCUGAGACCCACUUUGAGGAGCCAGGGCCAAUGGUGAGAGGGGUAGGUGGGACUCUCCAGGAUCCCAGCCGGGUUAGUCCCUUUCCCCCUAAACGUCGGGAGCGGCCUCCCAGAAAACCAGAGCUGCUACAGGAGGAAUCUUUGCCAUAGCUCUGGAUUCUUGGCCUCCAAGCCUGAGGGCCCAGGCCCUCAGGCAGAAUCCAGAGAUACAGGCACGGAGGCCCUGACCCCUCGCAUCUAGAACCGUUUACAUACUGCCACUAGCCAAAGAGUUACCGGCCCAGCUCCAUGGAGCCUUGGAUGGAGUCCCUGAGUCCUUUUGAUGAUGUGUGGCACGGAGAUGAGUCAGUCUGACAGUGGGGUGGACCUGAGUGGGGAUUCUCAGGUGUCAUCAGAUCCCUGCAGCCAGCAAAGUUCCCCUGAUGGAGGGCUCAAGGGGGCAGCAGAGGGACCUCCCAAGAGGCCUGGAGGCCCUCACCCCUGAAUGCUAUUCCUUGUGAGGGUCCACCUGGCUCUGAACCUCCUAGGAGACCACCACCUGCCCCCAACAAUGGGGACAGAAAGGAGCUGCCCCAGGAGCAGCCACUGCCCCCUGGCCUCAUUGGCACAGAACGAUCACAGCGUACAGACACAGUACCAGAGCCUGUCCCCAUUCCGCCAUCCCAUCGACCUGGCCCCCCUGUCCAGUUUGGCACUAGUGGCAAGGACUCAGACUUACGCCUCGUGGUAGGAGACACCUUAAAAGCAGAGAAGGAGCUAACAGUAUCAGUCACUGAGGCCAUUCCUAUAUCCCGAGACUGGGAGCUGCUUCCCAGUGCUGCAGCCUCUGCUGAGCCACAAUCCAAGAACCUGGGUUCUGGGCACUGUGGCACAGAGCCCAGCUCCUCAGGCCAGCGCCUAUAUCCUGAGGUCUUCUAUGGAAGCCCUGGACCUUCCAGUUCUCAGGUCUCUGGGGGAGCCAUGGACUCUCAAUUGCAUCCAAACAGUGGGGGCUUCUGCCCUGGGACACCCUCACUGCAUCCUUACAGAUCACAGCCCCUAUACCUACCCCCUGGCCCAGCCCCUCCCUCAACUACUCUCUGGGGUAGCUCUCAAGAGUGAGUUUCUAGAUUUCUCCACACUACAAGCUGCAGAGCUAGGGAAGUUGCUGGCUGGAGGAGUUCUCCACCCUCCACCUUCCUUCCUCUACUCUACAGCUUUCUGCCCCAGUCCUUUGCCCGACAUGUAGUUGCUUCAGGUACACCAGGAUCUGCCAUCCCCUUCGGAUUUUUAUUCUCCUCUGCAGCCUGGUGGCCAAAGUGGCUUUCUCCCUUCAGGGGCUCCUGCCCAACAGAUGCUUCUACCCAUGAUAGACUCACAGCUGCCUGUGGUGAAUUUUGGCUCCCUGCCACCAGCACCACCUCCUGCCCCACCUCCCCUUUCUCUGUUACCUGUGGGCCCUGCUCUGCAGCCCCCCAGCCUGGCUGUGUGGCCCCCACCUGCUACUGCUCCUCGGGUGCUGCCUUCACCUGCCAGGCCCUUCCUGAUGCUAGCUUGGGGUGAGCAGAGCUGCAUCCAGUGGAACUAAAGCCGUUCCAGGAUUAUCAAAAACUGAGCAGCAACCUCGGGGGACCGGGGUCAUCACGUACUUCCCCAACUGGAAGGUCCUUCUCUGGCCUCAAUUCCCAUCUCAAGGCCACGCCUUCCACUUACAGUGGAGUCUUCCACACCCAGCGCAUUGACCUUUACCAGGAGGCCUCCCCAUCAGAUGCCCUGCGCUGGAUACCUAAGUCUUGGUAGCGGACAGGGCCACCUUCUUGAGAAGGGGCUUCGCGACGGGCAGAGGAGCCUGGGUCCCAAGGGGACAAGGAGCCUGGGUUUCCCCCACCCUGCUGA